GAUGAAGAACGCAGCGAAAUGCGAUAAGUAAUGUGAAUUGCAGAAUUCAGUGAAUCAUCGAAUCUUUGAACGCACCUUGCGCCCUUUGGCCAUUCCGAAGGGCAUGCCUGUUUGAGUAUCAUGAACACCUCAACUCUUUAUGGUUUUCCAUGAUGAGCUUGGACUCUGGGGGUUUUGCUGGCUCACAGUCGGCUCCUCUAAAAUGAAUCAGCUUACCAGUGUUUGGUGGGUAUCAUGGGUGUGAUAACUAUCUACGCUUGUGGUUUUUCCACCAGGUAACCUUCAGCAGUGGAGGUUCGCUGGAGCUCAUAGAUGUCUCUCCUCAGUGGGGACAGCCCUUUGAAUGUUUGAUCUCAAAUCAGGUAGGACUACCCGCUGAACUUAAGCAUAUCAAUAAGCGGAGGA
rnacentral:misc_RNA from 1 species